CAGGCCUACAAGUAGUACAUUUAUAUGGAAUGCUAUUGUUCCAUCCUUACCAGCUCAUGGCCGCGUAGUUUCAGCAUAUUUAUAUUUUCAAUAAUUUUUUCACGCCAUCAUUUUUCCGCUAACAAUUUUUUUUGAUCUUCUUCAUUCCAGCUGAGACAUCUUCUUAUGGUUGUUUAUUGUUGUGUGGAGUUUACAAAUGGCCUAAGAUUAUUUGAUCGACAAUGGCGAUAUGGAGAAUUCAAUAUGCAGAUUUUAUUACCAUUAGUAUUGUUAGUCCAGAUCCAAAAAGUUACAGUAUAUGUGGUUAAAUGAAGGUUCAAGGUGUGCCUGGUUUGAUCACUCCGGCAACCUGUCGGUAUUGUUGCCUGGUGUUGUGUGCAUAUUUUCAGAAAAAUUGUUGGUGCUAAUGUUCUAUCAGGAUCUUCGGUGUAUCUUCUAUCUUUAGUUAGUGCUGAUAAGUAUUUGGAGAUUUUGCAUUUUGUCCCGGUUCAUGAAAUUGCUGAAUUCAGUAAACCUUUUCCUUCUUCUAGCAGAAGCAUUUUCAGGCGAGAAGAGGAACCAGGAGAAAAUGUCGCGGAAUAUCAGACCUGCAUGGGUUGUAUUAACGUCCGAGAUUUUGAAAUCCCUCUUAAGUUGCCCACCCAAACAGGUGAUCAUACCAGAUGUUUACAUUUUAUACCUCCAUUUUACAGAUGCAUUAUUCUAAAGGACUUCGAAUAAAACAGAUAACCAUGUUAUUUUCCUACAAAACUGUACUUUUUCAAUAGUAGAACUAUUCCACUACAUAAAUAGCUAAUAUGAUGUGCAAUUAUUGAUAAAUGUGAACCACGUCCAUUUGUAUGAAGUUAAUUUGACAAAGAAAUCCAAUAGUAAAUACGGUUUUCUCAUCAUGGUUACAUCAACAUUUCAGUUUUUAUAUUAUUAGAUUAAUAAUUUCUUACCAUAUAU